rnacentral:rRNA from 1 species
UACGUAGGUGGCAAGCGUUAUCCGGAAUUACUGAGCGUAAAGCGCACGCAGGCGGUCUUGUAAGUUUGACGUGAAAGCUCCCGGCUUAACUGGGAGAGGUCGUUGAAGACUGCAAGACUUGAGGAAAUGAGAGGGGUGUAGAAUUCCUGGUGUAGUGGUGGAAUGCGUAGAUAUCAGGAGGAAUACCAGUGGCGAAAAGCGGCACCCGUAGCAUUUUUCUG